CGAAAAGAUAUGAAUAAGAAGAGUAGCGAUUGUGCGUGCUUGCUAGAGAGUCGGUGUAUGGUGGGAACCGAUACACGGCAGUCGUGAAUGGACUUAUGGAAGCUGUUUUUUCUAAUGAAAAACAGACGUGUGCUCGCGUUAAGGGCAGUGUGAAAACACAUAAAGUGGGAGUGCUGCGGCGCUUCAAUUUGAGGUGGCAACGCGGUUAUCGAUCGUCCUCUGC
rnacentral:ncRNA from 1 species